rnacentral:rRNA from 1 species
UACGUAGGUGGCAAGCGUUGUCCGGAUUUAUUGGGGUUAAAGGGGGCGUAGGCGGUGACUUAAGUCAGUGGUGAAAUCCGGCAGCUCAACUGUCGAGGUGCCAUUGAUACUGGGUUACUUGAGUACUGAUGAGGUAGGCGGAAUGGACGGUGUAGCGGUGAAAUGCUUAGAUAUCGUCCAGAACACCGAUAGCGAAGGCAGCUUACUAAGGAGUAACUGACGCUGAUGCACGAAAGUGUGGGGAUCAAACAGG